UAGGUACGGGACUCCUUUGAUGUCCCGUAAUUCAAAUGAGUAGGCUCUAAAUCCUGUAACGAGGACCAAUUGGAGGGCAAGUCUGAAUUAUUCCAGCUGCAA
rnacentral:rRNA from 1 species